rnacentral:tRNA from 1 species
AGAAAUUUAGGUUCAGACCCAAACCAAGAGCCUUCAAAGCUCUAAACACGAGUAGCCCACCCUCAUAAUUUCUG